rnacentral:misc_RNA from 1 species
GUGGUCAACAAAUCUAUUGCAAAAUGGUGUUGAAACACAUAUAUAUUAGGAUCCUUAACAACCGCCUCUAAUAGGGCCCUUCCUAUCUCUCUGCCUGUCAUAUCAGCAGCAUGGACAAUUCGGCGAUGGGAGUGGCCCCCUUCCCUGGCUAGAUGCAGAUUGCCAUCCUCCCCAUGAUCGAACGAAGCACCCAUAGCAAUCAGUUCUCUAAUUCUCUCAGGUCCUUCAGUGCACACAACUCUAACAAUCUCCUCAUCACAGAGGUAAGCACCUGCCACAAUUGUAUCUUUCAUGUGGUUCUCCACUGAAUCCUUAGGGCAGAGCACAGCACUUACACCACCUUGAGCAUAGUUAGUGUUACUCUCAUG